rnacentral:rRNA from 1 species
CACCUACGGGAGGCAGCAGUGGGGAAUAUUGCACAAUGGGCGAAAGCCUGAUGCAGCGACGCCGCGUGAGCGAUGAAGGCCUUCGGGUCGUAAAGCCCUGUCCUAAGGGAAGAAUAUUGACGGUACCUUAGGAGGAAGCCCCGGCUAACUACGUGCCAGCAGCCGCGGUAAUACGUAGGGGGCAAGCGUUAUCCGGAAUCACUGGGCGUAAAGGGUGCGUAGGCGGCUUUUCAAGUCAGGGGUGAAAGGCUACGGCUCAACCGUAGUAAGCCUUUGAAACUGUAAAGCUUGAGUGCAGGAGAGGAGAGUGGAAUUCCUAGUGUAGCGGUGAAAUGCGUAGAUAUUAGGAGGAACACCAGUGGCGAAGGCGACUCUCUGGACUGUAACUGACGCUGAGGCACGAAAGCGUGGGGAGCAAACAGGAUUAGAUACCCUGGUAGUCCACGCUGUAAACGAUGAGUGCUAGGUGUUGGGGGUCGAACCUCAGUGCCGCAGCUAACGCAUUAAGCA